GGAGAGCAGUGGAGCAAUUUCUUGGGAACACUUUUUUUUUUUUUUCUCUUGUGUAAAGGAAAUAUGCCUGAGUGAAGCAUAUAUAGCACAUGUGUUUUCUUUCAGCUGUAGAGGCUGAAGCUGAUCCCGAGGCCUGGGAACCGGACGCCUGCAGCGGGGACAGAUGGAAGCGUGGCGCUGUGUGAGGAGGGGCUACGGCCGCUGUGUAGUGGCGAGAGGCCGUUUUAACAGAUGGCAGCUGCUAAAUCAAACAAAUUUGGAGAAAAGUGGGAGAGGAAGUUGCUAAGGGCAUCCCGGAUGCCUGGUUAAGCCAGACGCAGUUUCCAGCUUUUAGAAUAUGAGGGUGAUACCAGAAAGAUGAACCGGAAUCUGGGUUCUUGGUCACGGUAGUUGAAGAAUGAACUCUGCAAACACACAGGUAGCAAGCAAGCAAAGUCUUUAUUAAAUGAAAUCAGAUAGCUCCCAGGACAGCUGGGAGAGGGGAGAAGAGCCCCCUUUCUCUGUUGUCCUAUAGGGGUUGUUAUUUCUUAAAGUUGGGGGGAGGGAUACCAAGGUGGGGUCCAGAGAGAUGUCAUCUUCUCCCAUUGGCCUUGCUCAGUUACCCAUAUCAGUCCUUGUUCAAUAGGGUCCUAGGGGUGGAAAUGUCCCGUUAAGUAUCAUAGUUUCUUUGUCCUUUUCUUCCUGUAAACUGAGUCACGGGAUUAGGGAUUAAUGUCCAUCUGGUUGUAGGUACACUCCCUAUAGUAAACAAGGCCUGUGGGGAUGUUACUCCCCGGAGCCCUUAAGCCACAAAAGUUAACCAAUGACCAUAUAUAUCAAAGAAUGCAUCGAAGCCCUUGCUUCUGCACUGACUACCUGAGUUAAUAUUCUGUCUCAAGGGGAUGAAUUUUAAAAUUGAUACAGGGUUGUGUCAACUAAAACAAACAAACAAAACCACACAUAAUGUAAGAGCAAGAACUUUCAGUUUUAUUCAGGGACCAUUUUGAGGACUGUAGCCCAGGAAACAACCUCUCAGCUCUGAGAAAAAAAACUGCUUCAAGGAGGUAAAGGAGGUUAUGUAUAAUUUU
rnacentral:lncRNA from 9 species